UGAGGAAUAUUGGUCAAUGGACGCAAGUCUGAACCAGCCAAGUAGCGUGCAGGAUGACGGCCCUAUGGGUUGUAAACUGCUUUUAUGCGGGGAUAAAGUGUGGGACGUGUCCCAUAUUGCAGGUACCGCAUGAAUAAGGACCGGCUAAUUCCGUGCCAGCAGCCGCGGUAAUACGGAAGGUCCAGGCGUUAUCCGGAUUUAUUGGGUUUAAAGGGAGCGUAGGCGGAUUUUUUAAGUCAGUUGUGAAAGUUUGAGGCUCAACCUUAAAAUUGCAGUUGAAACUGGAAGUCUUGAGUGCACGCAGAGGUGCCGGAAUUCAUGGUGUAGCGGUGAAAUGCUUAGAUAUCAUGAAGACUCCGAUCGCGAAGGCAAGUGCCUGGAGUGCUACUGACGCUGAGGCUCGAAAGUGCGGGUAUCAAACAGGAUUAGAUACCC
rnacentral:rRNA from 1 species